GCAGAUAGCUCAGUUGGUUAGAACAUGGUGCUGAUAACACCAUGGUCACAGGUUUGAUCCCCCGCAUGGGACAGCUGCA